rnacentral:rRNA from 1 species
CAACCUGCCGUCUACUCUUGGACAGCCUUCUGAAAGGAAGAUUAAUACAAGAUGGCAUCAUGAGUUCACAUGUUCACAUGAUUAAAGGUAUUCCGGUAAACGAUGGGGAUGCGUUCCAUUAGAUAGUAGGCGGGGUAACGGCCCACCUAGUCUUCGAUGGAUAGGGGUUCUGAGAGGAAGGUCCCCCACAUUGGAACUGAGACACGGUCCAAACUCCUACGGGAGGCAGCAGUGAGGAAUAUUGGUCAAUGGGCGAUGGCCUGAACCAGCCAAGUAGCGUGAAGGAUGACUGCCCUAUGGGUUGUAAACUUCUUUUAUAAAGGAAUAAAGUCGGGUAUGCAUACCCGUUUGCAUGUACUUUAUGAAUAAGGAUCGGAUAACUCCGUGCCAGCAGCCGCGGUAAUACGGAGGAUCCGAGCGUUAUCCGGAUUUAUUGGGUUUAAAGGGAGCGUAGAUGGAUGUUUAAGUCAGUUGUGAAAGUUUGCGGCUCAACCGUAAAAUUGCAGUUGAUACUGGAUGUCUUGAGUGCAGUUGAGGCAGGCGGAAUUCGUGGUGUAGCGGUGAAAUGCUUAGAUAUCACGAAGAACUCCGAUUG